UAGGGAAUCUUCCGCAAUGGGCGAAAGCUUGACGGAGCAACGCCGCGUGAGUGAUGAAGGUCUUCGGAUCGUAAAACUCUGUUAUUAGGGAAGAACAAAUGUGUAAGUAACUAUGCACGUCUUGACGGUACCUAAUCAGAAAGCCACGGCUAACUACGUGCCAGCAGCCGCGGUAAUACGUAGGUGGCAAGCGUUAUCCGGAAUUAUUGGGCGUAAAGCGCGCGUAGGCGGUUUUUUAAGUCUGAUGUGAAAGCCCACGGCUCAACCGUGGAGGGUCAUUGGAAACUGGAAAACUUGAGUGCAGAAGAGGAAAGUGGAAUUCCAUGUGUAGCGGUGAAAUGCGCAGAGAUAUGGAGGAACACCAGUGGCGAAGGCGACUUUCUGGUCUGUAACUGACGCUGAUGUGCGAAAGCGUGGGGAGCAAACAGG
rnacentral:rRNA from 1 species